GGUUAGUUCCAUGGCAUCUGGACCUCUCAGCAAUAUUGCUGCUUAUUUGAAAGAACACUCGGAUUUUGGGAGAUUUACCAAAAGGAUGAAAAUGAGAAAGCGCAGUGAACGGAAGAAGAGAAACACAACAUUGCAUUUAUUGUAGUGAUUGACGAGAAAGCCCGUUUCGAUUUUGAUAAUCGGACUUGCCGAGACAAAAUUCUAUUUUUUAUUUGCUUGUUGUUUAUACUGUUUUUUUUUUUUCAUUUUACACGUGUGUGAGUAGUCAGA